rnacentral:rRNA from 1 species
AAUAGAUACCCGGGUAGUCCAUGCCGUAAACGUUGGGCACUAGGUGUGGGGGACAUUCCACGUUUUCCGCGCCGUAGCUAACGCAUUAAGUGCCCCGCCUGGGGAGUACGGCCGCAAGGCUAAAACUCAAAGGAAUUGACGGGGGCCCGCACAAGCGGCGGAGCAUGCGGAUUAAUUCGAUGCAACGCGAAGAACCUUACCAAGGCUUGACAUGAACCAGACCGGGCUGGAAACAGUCCUUCCCCUUGUGGGUUGGUUUACAGGUGGUGCAUGGUUGUCGUCAGCUCGUGUCGUGAGAUGUUGGGUUAAGUCCCGCAACGAGCGCAACCCUCGUUCUAUGUUGCCAGCACGUGAUGGUGGGGACUCAUAGGAGACUGCCGGGGUCAACUCGGAGGAAGGUGGGGACGACGUCAAAUCAUCAUGCCCCUUAUGUCUUGGGCUUCACGCAUGCUACAAUGGCCGGUACAAAGGGUUGCGAUACUGUGAGGUGGAGCUAAUCCCAAAAAGCCGGUCUCAGUUUGGAUUGGGGUCUGCAACUCGACCCCA